UACGAAGGGGGCUAGCGUUGCUCGGAUUUACUGGGCGUAAAGGGCGCGUAGGCGGAUAGUUAAGUUGGGGGUGAAAGCCCGGGGCUCAACCUCGGAAUUGCCUUCAAUACUGGCUAUCUUGAGUGUGAGAGAGGUGUGUGGAACUCCGAGUGUAGAGGUGAAAUUCGUAGAUAUUCGGAAGGAACACCAGUGGCGAAGGCGACACACUGGCUCACUACUGACGCUGGAGGCGCGAAAGCGUGGGGAGCAAACAGG
rnacentral:rRNA from 1 species